UCAGUCGGCCGGACGGCCGCUCCUGCUACGGUCGAAAGGCUGCGGGAGAGGAAAGUCCGGGCUCCAUCGACAUGCGGUGCCGGAUAACGUCCGGCGGGGGCAACCCCAGGGAAAGUGCCACAGAGAACGAACCGCCCUCCUUCGCUUCGGCUUCGGAGGGUAAGGGUGAAAAGGUGCGGUAAGAGCGCACCGCGUUUCCGGCGACGGAGACGGCAUGGCAAACCCCACCGGGAGCAAAACCGAAUAGGGACGGCAACGCGGUUAGUUCGCGAAAAGCGAUAACACCGCAGGGCGAUGUCAGGCCCGCCGUCCGGGUAGGUUGCUCGAGGCCAUACGCAAGCAUGGUCCCAGAGGAAUGGCCGUCACGUACCAUUCGCAAGGAUGGUGCCCUACAGAACCCGGCUUACAGGCCGGCUGAUAUC
rnacentral:RNase_P_RNA from 1 species